AUCAUUACCGAGUGCGGCCCCUUCGGGGUGCCAACCUCCCACCCGUGCUUACGUACCGCGUUGCUUCGGCGGGCCGCCCUAGGCCGCCGGGGGGCCCUGGCGCCCCCGGGCGAGUGCCCGUCGGAGACCCUUCUUCGAACGCUGUCUGAAGACUGCCGUCUGAGUUGGAUAUACAAAUCAAUCAAAACUUUCAACAACGGAUCUCUUGGUUCUGGCAUCGAUGAAGAACGCAGCGAAAUGCGAUAAGUAAUGUGAAUUGCAGAAUUCAGUGAAUCAUCGAAUCUUUGAACGCACAUUGCGCCCCCUGGCAUUCCGGGGGGCAUGCCUGUUCGAGCGUCAUUGCACCACUCAAGCCUCGCUUGGUAUUGGGCGCCGCGGUCUCCCCGCGCGCCCUAAUGUCUGCCGGCUGAGCCGUCCGUCUCUAAGCGUUGUGGUACACAGUCCGCUUGCGAGGCCCGGGCGGUUCGACGCCGUUAAACCCCUUCUUCUAAAGGUUGACCUCGGAUCAGGUACGGAUACCCACUGAACUUAAGCAUAUGAGUAA
rnacentral:rRNA from 1 species